rnacentral:rRNA from 1 species
UGCCCUAUAAAGGGUAUGCAUUCAUAGGUGGGAUGCUUGCUCACAAAUUUUCUUAUUCCUAGAGUAUUGCAAUAUUGUGGUAAUGUGAAUGGAACAAUGUAUAGAUUGACUGCUAUAUCAAUAAUUUUGCAUACUAAUAUAGGGGCAUAUAACUAAGGUAUUUUUGUAUGUAUGCAGAAAAUUAUGCUGGUUCAGCUAUAUUUAUGUACAACGCAAUGCAGCACGUUGAAGGAAAGGCAUGCAGGUGUACCAAGGUAUGCUCAAUUCUCAUAUGCCCCUCUCCUAUUGAUGUCAUGUCCCAUCACUGGGCAUACUGUAUUGAAGGCUCCAAGGUUCAGAUUUUAGUCACCCAAAGAUAUCAUCAAUCACUUCUCGUCUUAUUAGGUAAUGCUGCAUAGAUUAGUUUUCUUCUGCCCAACAUAUUCACAGAAUAACAGUUUUAACAUGCCGCUGUCAUCUAUGCAUUCUAAUUUUCGUUAAAUUUGCAGUAAGUGGGUUGUGAUGAACAAGAUUACUAGAAAGCCUGCAAGAAUUCCGAAUGCAAUAUGGACUGAAUAGAGCCGUACUUUUUUAGCAUGAUGCUAUUGAAGAUGAACACCACCGAAAACUUCCAAAACUGCCAGGGCAUGACCGUGCUACCUCAACCAAAUAUGUCCGAACAGGCCCGACAGUAAGUUUUGCACACACACGCACGCACACACGCACGCGCGCGGGCUGAUCUUGGUACGAAUCAGCAUGUCAAUAAUGUUAAAUACAUUGGCUGGAUCCUUGAGGAUAAAAUUUCGCUUCCAUGUGCAUCUUUAUUGAUUGCUGAGACACACAAAAUUUCUUCUUGAUUUGUAGUUAAGUAUGAUACUUUUCAGAAGCUAUUUUGAUUUAAUCUUAUAUCUGUGAACACUCCAUGGAGGUUGCCCAAUGCUUUCUGUUGCCAAGCAUUCUUUCACGAGGUGUGAGGUGGUGGACCACCCUGUGGAGGCCAAAGGGAACCAAAAAUCUCAAGAAUACACACACUGCAUAUGCAUGGAUGAUAUGUCUAUAUACACAGAAAGUGUGUGAAGGCAGAGGAGAUAAGAAGAGUACAAGAAAAUGAUCAAAAGCAGAGAAGACCAAGAAGGCCUCUGGUGCAUGCUUUGUCGGUACACUUUCUCUUUCCAUUUCCUUUCUUUUAUAUCCCCUAUAAAGAUCUUUGAGUUACAUGAAUGGGUGUUGUAAUUAUUGAGUUUGUAGCUAUUGUCGUCUAAUGGGAAGUGAAUGCUUCUCACACUCUGUCUGUCUGGUGCUGUGUAUAUUAAUUACGAGGCCUUAAAAGCAACCUGUCUUAUUGAACUUUGAGCUCAAAUAUUGUACUAUAUUGUUUUAUUGUAAAAUUGAGAUCAGUUCUUAUUCUCUGAUUGUUGAUGAAACAUGUUGAAACUUCAGUCUGUUUCUCGAACUUCGAAAUGGUGUGGAUGCUACAUGAUUUUAAGAGUUGCCUUGAUUUGCUUAGCUGGAGUAGGCAACUUGAUGUGGGCAAAUGACGGGUUCACAUGCCCAGUUUAUUUUAUUGGGUUGACCCAUCAAAUCUGAGAAGCAAUUUCUGUGCAAGAACCUACAGCCUACUUGGCCACAAAAACUGUCAGGUGUCACCUGCAUGUUUUUGACAAUAAUCCAUGAUCUGUUGCUUAUCAAGGUGCUGUUUCUAGACUUCAUUUCAGAAAUGAUUCUGAUGCAACUUAUGGACUUCUACUCGGCAUUCUUUUAGUUUGAGCAUUGUAGGAAUGAUUCAUUUCUUAUUAUGUGAAGUAUAAGCAUGAAUAGCUUUGCAUCAGUACUAUACUGAAAAACAGAGCCCAGAGGUGAGAUGGCUAACCUGAUACGGUAGCUAACUGUUCGAGAGGCUGGGAGUGGGCCUAGCUGCUACGGUCGGCUGAUCAUCUGUUGAUUCAUCCAUUCAGAGGAGGCCAUCUCAUGGGAGUUGGCCUUCCAGAUCCAAGAACAAUAUGUAUGAGCUUUCGUGCUGAAUAUGCAUACAGUUAUGCAGUAUGUGCAGUUUGCAUGCUCCGAGUUUUCUGGAUGGUGAUUUUGAAAUAGUCCGCCCCUUCUUCACAGUUCCGUUCUGUAGUAGUGGCAUUUUUCUCUGGUCCAAUUAUUGGAUCUUUAUUUGGUCUCCGAUCAGGCAGAACAUUUGUUGUCUUUCAGAGGUACCAGGAUGUGAUUGAUGUCGUCUAUCUUAGUUCACUCAUUUGUUUUUGUUCCUUGAUUUGAAAUACAGACAUGAAUAGCAUGCAUAUUUGUUUGGUGCAUAAAAGAUCUCUAGGUUGUUCUCAGCAUCCAUAUAAUUAUAUUCUCAAACCAAAAUUGAUGAUGUUAUUAUCCGCUCUUUAUCC